AUUGAACGCUGGCGGCAUGCCUUACACAUGCAAGUCGAACGGUAACAGGCCGCAAGGUGCUGACGAGUGGCGAACGGGUGAGUAAUGUAUCGGAACGUGCCCAGUCGUGGGGGAUAACUGCUCGAAAGAGCAGCUAAUACCGCAUACGACCUGAGGGUGAAAGCGGGGGAUCGCAAGACCUCGCGCGAUUGGAGCGGCCGAUACCAGAUUAGGUAGUUGGUGGGGUAAAGGCCCACCAAGCCAACGAUCUGUAGCUGGUCUGAGAGGACGACCAGCCACACUGGGACUGAGACACGGCCCAGACUCCUACGGGAGGCAGCAGUGGGGAAUUUUGGACAAUGGACGCAAGUCUGAUCCAGCCAUGCCGCGUGCGGGAA
rnacentral:rRNA from 1 species